UGCCAGCAGCCGCGGUAAUACGGAGGGUGCAAGCGUUAAUCGGAAUUACUGGGCGUAAAGCGCGCGUAGGCGGCUUGUUUAGUCAGCUGUGAAGGCCCUGGGCUUAACCUGGGGACUGCAGUUGAUACUGGCAAGCUAGAGUAUGGGAGAGGGUUGUGGAAUUCCACGUGUAGCGGUGAAAUGCGUAGAUAUGUGGAGGAACAUCAGUGGCGAAGGCAGCCCCCUGGGUCAACACUGACGCUCAGGCACGAAAGCAUGGGGAGCAAACAGGAUUAGAUA
rnacentral:rRNA from 1 species